UACAGAGGGGGCAAGCGUUAUUCGGAAUUAUUGGGCGUAAAGGGCGCGUAGGCGGCUUCGCAAGUGGUGGGUGAAAUCCCUCGGCUUAACCGAGGAACUGCCCUCCAAACUGCGUUGCUCAGAGUCCGGGAGAGGUGAGUGGAAUUCCCAGUGUAGCGGUGAAAUGCGUAGAUAUUGGGAGGAACACCAGUGGCGAAGGCGGCUCACUGGACCGGUACUGACGCUGAGGCGCGAAAGCGUGGGGAGCAAACGGG
rnacentral:rRNA from 1 species